AUUGAACGCUGGCGGCAGGCUUAACACAUGCAAGUCGAGCGGGGGAAGGUAGCUUGCUACCGGACCUAGCGGCGGACGGGUGAGUAAUGCUUAGGAAUCUGCCUAUUAGUGGGGGACAACAUCUCGAAAGGGAUGCUAAUACCGCAUACGUCCUACGGGAGAAAGCAGGGGAUCACUUGUGACCUUGUGCUAAUAGAUGCGCCUAAGUCGGAUUAGCUAGUUGGUGGGGUAAAGGCCUACCAAGGCGACGAUCUGUAGCGGGUCUGAGAGGAUGAUCCGCCACACUGGGACUGAGACACGGCCCAGACUCCUACGGGAGGCAGCAGUGGGGAAUAUUGGACAAUGGGGGGAACCCUGAUCCAGCCAUGCCGCGUGUGUGAAGAAGGCCUUAUGGUUGUAAAGCACUUUAAGCGAGGAGGAGGCUCUUUUGGUUAAUACCCAAGAUGAGUGGACGUUACUCGCAGAAUAAGCACCGGCUAACUCUGUGCCAGCCGCCGCCGUAA
rnacentral:rRNA from 1 species